UGCAAGUCGAACGAUGAACCUCCUUCGGGAGGGGAUUAGUGGCGAACGGGUGAGUAACACGUGGGCAAUCUGCCCUUCACUCUGGGACAAGCCCUGGAAACGGGGUCUAAUACCGGAUAACACUGCGGAUCGCAUGGUCUGCGGUUGAAAGCUCCGGCGGUGAAGGAUGAGCCCGCGGCCUAUCAGCUUGUUGGUGGGGUGAUGGCCUACCAAGGCGACGACGGGUAGCCGGCCUGAGAGGGCGACCGGCCACACUGGGACUGAGACACGGCCCAGACUCCUACGGGAGGCAGCAGUGGGGAAUAUUGCACAAUGGGCGAAAGCCUGAUGCAGCGACGCCGCGUGAGGGAUGACGGCCUUCGGGUUGUAAACCUCUUUCAGCAGGGAAGAAGCGAAAGUGACGGUACCUGCAGAAGAAGCGCCGGCUAACUACGUGCCAGCAGCCGCGGUAAUACGUAGGGCGCAAGCGUUGUCCGGAAUUAUUGGGCGUAAAGAGCUCGUAGGCGGCUUGUCGCGUCGGAUGUGAAAGCCCGGGGCUUAACCCCGGGUCUGCAUUCGAUACGGGCAGGCUAGAGUGUGGUAGGGGAGAUCGGAAUUCCUGGUGUAGCGGUGAAAUGCGCAGAUAUCAGGAGGAACACCGGUGGCGAAGGCGGAUCUCUGGGCCAUUACUGACGCUGAGGAGCGAAAGCGUGGGGAGCGAACAGGAUUAGAUACCCUGGUAGUCCACGCCGUAAACGUUGGGAACUAGGUGUUGGCGACAUUCCACGUCGUCGGUGCCGCAGCUAACGCAUUAAGUUCCCCGCCUGGGGAGUACGGCCGCAAGGCUAAAACUCAAAGGAAUUGACGGGGGCCCGCACAAGCAGCGGAGCAUGUGGCUUAAUUCGACGCAACGCGAAGAACCUUACCAAGGCUUGACAUAUACCGGAAAGCAUCAGAGAUGGUGCCCCCCUUGUGGUCGGUAUACAGGUGGUGCAUGGCUNGUCGUCAGCUCGUGUCGUGAGAUGUUGGGUUAAGUCCCGCAACGAGCGCAACCCUUGUUCUGUGUUGCCAGCAUGCCCUUCGGGGUGAUGGGGACUCACAGGAGACUGCCGGGGUCAACUCGGAGGAAGGUGGGGACGACGUCAAGUCAUCAUGCCCCUUAUGUCUUGGGCUGCACACGUGCUACAAUGGCCGGUACAAAGAGCUGCGAAGCCGUGAGGCGGAGCGAAUCUCAAAAAGCCGGUCUCAGUUCGGAUUGGGGUCUGCAACUCGACCCCAUGAAGUCGGAGUUGCUAGUAAUCGCAGAUCAGCAUUGCUGCGGUGAAUACGUUCCCGGGCCUUGUACACACCGCCCGUCACGUCACGAAAGUCGGUAACACCCGAAGCCGGUGGCCCAACCCCUUGUGGGAGGGAGC
rnacentral:rRNA from 1 species